rnacentral:lncRNA from 1 species
GAAAAAUGACCACAGAUUUUCACCAGCCUUAAAACCUCACGACACAUCAUUUUAUCCGAUUCUACAAACACCAUUCAUUUCAUAAUUUUGGUGUGUGAACUCUGGAAGAAGAGACCACUCUCAUCAACCAUGAACCAUAAAAACUCCACCGCUCUUUCUCUCCCUCAAUCAUUUGCAUCUCUUCCUUAAUUCUCUCUUCCCAUCUUCUUCAUCAUCAUGCAUUAUUUGUCACAUCAUCAUUAUACUAGCUGCCAAGUCAUUCUUCUUCCUCUUAAUGUGACGUGGAGAUUCGGAGAUGUAAGCUUUUGGAGAUAUGUUAUAAUAAAAGAUGGAAAUACUGUCCAAGUUUAUAAUAUUUAGACAGAUUUUAUAAGAUUAUAGAAAAACUAAUCACAGAGAUUAUACAAAACUCUCUAGUAAUCAUUUAAACUCUUUAAAACUCUUUAAUUUUACCUACUUUCUAUACUUUUUAAAAGUCAUUAAAACUCUUCCAAAGUCACAAACCAAUAACACCCCCUAAGACUCAGGACCC